rnacentral:rRNA from 1 species
AUUGAACGCUGGCGGCAGGCCUAACACAUGCAAGUCGAGCGGAUGAAGGGAGCUUGCUCCUGGAUUCAGCGGUGGUCGGGUGAGUAGUGCCUAGGAAUCUGCCUGGUAGUGGGGGAUAACGUCCGGAAACGGGCGCUAAUACCGCAUACGUCCUGAGGGAGAAAGUGGGGGAUCUUCGGACCUCACGCUAUCAGAUGAGCCUAGGUCGGAUUAGCUAGUUGGUGGGGUAAAGGCCUACCAAGGCGACGAUCCGUAACUGGUCUGAGAGGAUGAUCAGUCACACUGGAACUGAGACACGGUCCAGACUCCUACGGGAGGCAGCAGUGGGGAAUAUUGGACAAUGGGCGAAAGCCUGAUCCAGCCAUGCCGCGUGUGUGAAGAAGGUCUUCGGAUUGUAAAGCACUUUAAGUUGGGAGGAAGGGCAGUAAGUUAAUACCUUGCUGUUUUGACGUUACCAACAGAAUAAGCACCGGCUAACUUCGUG